AAAGCCAGGGGAGCAAACCGGAUUAGAUACCCGGGUAGUCCUGGCCGUAAACGCUGCAGGCUUGGUGUUGGGCUCUCUUCGAGGGAGCCCAGUGCCGGAGUGAAGACGUUAAGCCUGCCGCUUGGGGAGUACGGCCGCAAGGCUGAAAUUCGUAGGAGGCAGAGCCCCUAUUAUCUGCGUCCUACGGACAGCAGACUUAAAGGAAUUGGCGGGGGAGCACUGCAACGGGAGGAGCGUGCGGUUCAAUUGGAUUCAACGCCGGAAAACUCACCGGGGGCGACGGGCACAUGAAGGUCAGGCUGAUGACCUUACCAGAUUGCCCGAGAGGUGGUGCAUGGCCGUCGUCAGUUCGUACUGUGAAGCGUUCUGUUAAGUCAGAUAACGAACGAGACCCUCGCCCCUAGUUGCUACCUUUCCCUCCGGGGAAAGGGCACACUAGGGGGACCGCCGGCGCCAAGCCGGAGGAAGGGGAGGGCAACGAUAGGUCCGUAUGCCCCGAAUCCCCCGGGCUACACGCGCGCUACAAAGGACGGGACAAUGGGCACCGACUCCGAAAGGAGGAGGCAAUCCCGAAACCCGUCCGUAGUUCGGAUCGAGGGCUGCAACCCGCCCUCGUGAAGGUGGAUUCCGUAGUAAUCGCGGGUCAACAUCCCGCGGUGAAUACGCCCCUGCUCCUUGCACACACCGCCCGUCAAGCCAUCCGAGUCGGGUCUGGAUGAGGGCACCGUUAGUUGCGGUGUUCGAAUCUGGGCUCGGCAAGGAGGGCUAAGUCGUAACAAGGUAUCCGUAGGGGAACCUGCGGAUGGAUCACCUCCUACGC
rnacentral:rRNA from 1 species